rfam:Canis lupus familiaris chromosome 20, whole genome shotgun sequence.
UUCUGGCUGGCUCAGUCUGUAGAGCAUGUGACUCUUGAUCUCAGGGUCAUGAGUUCAAACCUCAUGUUGGAUG